rnacentral:misc_RNA from 2 species
AACGCACCUUGCGCUCCUUGGUAUUCCGAGGAGCAUUGCCUGUUUGAGUGUCGUGUAAUUAUCAACUCUCUUUCUUUAUUGAAAGGUGAGCUUGGACUUGGGGAUUGCUGGCUCACAUCGGCUUCCCUUGAAUAUAUUAGCCGGAAUUUGAUUCGCAGCAUAUAUGCGGUGUGAUAAUGUCGUCACUGUGUAGCUCGGAUUGUCUAGCUUCUAAUCGUCCUUCAAGGGACAAUUUGAUCAUUUUGGCCUCAAAUCAGGUAGGACUACCCGCUGAACUUAA